GGUGGCCGUGCGGCCCGCCGCGCCGCACCAGUGGGACGUGAUGCGCGGUUCUGGCGACGGGCCCUGGAGCCGAGGGUGAGCCACGGAUCGCCAUCACACGGUAAUUUGCAAGCGUCCGCGCGGACUGGCUACAGAGGUCCUGGCCUAGGAAGGCAGCGCUCACCGCUGCCUUGUCCUCAAGAUGGCGACUCAAAGUUCAAAUUCAGCAUAUUCAAGGGAUUCUGGCGGAGGAAGCAGUAUUCGCUGGAGCAAGUGUAGCUGCGGCCCGGCUGACAACGGCAGCAAGUGGCGGACCCGGACAGGCUCCCGUGUCCAGCCCCGCGCGGCAGCCGCCUAUCUCGUGCGACUAACAAAGUAAAGGCUUGCGUAUCUUACGUGAUAAUACGUCUCAAGGUGUCGUUUUGCAAUAUAGUGUACAUAAAGCGCUUGUAAUAUGCACCGAGGCAAGCUAUUUUCUAAGUAUAUGGAUGUACGUGUGCAUGUGUAUAGUAUGUCAUUUAAAAUAAACGGCCGUAUCGA